AUUUGAUGUUGGGGGCACUUGAUGCACAACUUUUUAAACCGCUCCCAGUAGUCAUAAAGCGACUCCCCUGGAUGUUGUUUGAUCCCACAAAUUUCUUUCCUUAGACU